GGGAAUGUAGCUCAGAGAUAGAGCACUUACCUAGCAUGUGUGAGGCCCCAGGUUCAACCUAGCACUCCGA
rnacentral:tRNA from 1 species